UACGUAGGGUGCAAGCGUUCUUCGGAAUUACUGGGCGUAAAGCGUGCGCAGGCGGUUUUGUAAGUCUGAUGUGAAAUCCCCGGGCUCAACCUGGGAAUUGCAUUGGAGACUGCAAGGCUAGAAUCUGGCAGAGGGGGGUAGAAUUCCACGUGUAGCAGUGAAAUGCGUAGAGAUGUGGAGGAACACCGAUGGCGAAGGCAGCCCCCUGGGUCAAGAUUGACGCUCAUGCACGAAAGCGUGGGGAGCAAACAGG
rnacentral:rRNA from 1 species